GUGAAUCAUCAAAUCUUUGAACGCAAAUUGCACUCUCUGGUAUUCCGGAGAGUAUGCCUGUUUGAGGGUCAGUAAAAAUAAAAAUCGGUGUGGUUGGUGCCUUUCGUGGUGACGUACCGGCUUUGGGUCGUCUUGCCUUCGAUUAAGUUACAUUAAAUUUUUCAUGAUUUUUUUUGUAGGGUAUUAAA
rnacentral:misc_RNA from 1 species